UAGAGAAUGAAUUGCCAAUUGCUGAUACCUUUGAUACAUGCAUCAAGCUCGGCUCGGUAUUCAAGGCAGUGCUCAUUCCAUAAACAUCGAUCAUCUAUACUAAUUUCUGCUGGUUACUUCACACGAUGAACAUGAACAUAAGUAAUAAUGGCUACUGUACAACCAAAUGCAGAUCCCUUGGAAGCUACUUAGAAUUUAGGUAAGCUUCUAUACAAUGCGACUACCGAUUAAAAAACAUGUAUUAAUUGGGCACAAAGUGUUAAAUUAUUUUCUAUAAAUUAUACACAUCCUACAAACGGAAAAGAAUGUAUGAAAGUGCCAUCUACUCGAGGAUGCAGCAAUUCAAAUACAUCAAUUAAUCUUCGAUAUUGAUGUAGAAAACCGAUCAAAUCGAUCGAUCAUUAGCCGAAAAAACAUAGUUUAAGUUCCAAAAAUGAUUAAUGGAGAAUAUAAUUUUGGCUAUGUACUUAUUCUUAUAUAUAAAUUGAAUAACACUAAUACAAUCAACGAAAUAAGAGUGGAUCGAGACAUAAAGAUUUUACAAGAAACAUUCCCAGAUAUAUUUUCCUACUGCAGUUAGUACUCCUCCACUUUUGGAAAAUAUAACUUAAAACUAAAAUUUGGUUUGGUUUAAGUUAUAUCAGUGAAAAAUAAAAUUGUUCAUAGGGGAGCGGAAUCUACCAAAUUAGACAGCACUUAUCAUAAGUUUUUAAUUUAAACUUUUGCAUAGAAAGUUGUAAAUCCAUAUGAAACCUCGCUUCGUGUGGAAAAAUAUAAAUCCAUGUGGAAGCUCACUUUGCGUUAAAAGUGUGUGCAUGGAGCACCGUGUGUUGCACCCUCCCUGUAGGGAGGGGGGGGGUUUUCACUGCCAAAAAACCAGACACAUAGGUUUGAGUUGAACCUUUGCAUGGAAAUUUGUAAACAAGUUGCCUUCACUUGGACACAGUUUAAAUGGACACAGUGCAAAUGAACACAGUGCAAAUAGAUAUGAAAUUUUCUACACGGUUUAAUAGGACACAGUGCAAAUUGACACGAAAUUUGCUACACAAAGUAUUAGACUGUUAAAAUAUAUACAAUUAAUUUGUAUACCAUUAAUUUACACGCCAUUCAUGUGUACACCAAAAGUUGUACACCGAAAGUUAUACACGGAAAGUUCUACACGGAAAGUUGUACACGAAAAGUUCUACACGGAAAAUUAAGAAAAAGAUAUAUAUUUGCACACAUGAUACUAUUGUCUACAAACCGAUUGCCUACAAGCUUUAUUGCGCACAAAUAAGAAAUUAAGAGACAACAUACGUUUGCACACAAACUAUUGCACAAGCUGCAUUGCAUAUAUGAUAUCGUACUAUUGAAUCAACAAUUGCCUUUUUAAAAUAAUUCUUUAGAAUGGAAUGUUGCAAACGCGUGGAAUGUUGUGUGGAACCUCGCCUUCGCGUGGAAAAAUGUAUGUGUGGACACAGAGGGUUCCGCCCCCUGCGGGGGGCUCCACUAUCUAAAAACUAUACAAAUAGGUGUAGGUUGAACCUCGAUUCGUGUAGAAAGUUGCAAACCCAUGUGGAACUUCGUCUACAUGUGGAAAAGGUUGGCAAUCAAUUUGUAGGCAAUUGGGGCCCUCCCCUUUUCGUGUAAAACUUUCCGUGUACAACUUUUGGUAUACAACUUUUGGUGUACAACUGAACGGUGUACAAAUAAACGGUGUAGAAAUUUCGGUGUACAAAUAAACGGUCUAUAUAAAUUAACAGUCAACAAAUUAAUAGUGUAUAUCUGAACAGUGCCUAAUAUUCUGUGUAGAAAAUUUUGUGUCCAUUUGCACUGUGUCCAACUGAACCGUGCAGAAAUUUUUGUGUCCAUUUGAACUGCGUCCAAAUGAACUACUCCCGUUGUAAACUUAUGUGAAAUUACUAAAAUUUAAAAUUUGAUUUGGGGUUAAAUUAUAAUUUGCGAUAGUGUACGAGCAUGCAAACCACUCCACCCAUAUCCCAGAAAUGAAUUAUAGGUGUACAAAUAAGUUUGUAUUACAUGUGCAUGCAAAGUGGCACUUUCCGUAAGCGAUUUCUGUACGCAAAAUAACAAUUUGUCAACAUCUACCUACAAAAUAUUCCACACAUUUUGGGGUGAAAUGGUAGACCAGUGGGUUAAGUCGUAAGACAGUAUUCCUAAGGUCCCAGGUUCGAAUCCAAUUUGAGUCAAUCACCCCACAUGCCUGCCAGGAAAAAGGUGAAGAAGGAGGAGAUGGAGAAGUGAGGAAAAAGAGGGAGGCAGGUUCGGCUGGAAGGAGAAGGAGAAAAUGGAAAAAAGGAAGGAGAGGAAUUGGAGACAAGGAGUAAAGAGAUGGAAGAAGGAAGAAAAGGGAGAGAAGGUGUGAAUGGAAUAAAAGGGACUGUAGAGGUUUGGGAACGCUCCUAUCAGAAAAAAGCGCCAGAGGGAAUUGAUAUGGAAUUGUAAUGAGUGAUUAGAGGAGGAUUGUAAAGGUUCGGAAACGCUCUUAUCAGAAAAAAGCACCGCAUAUGUAACAUAUUGUAACGAGAAAAGAAGGAUGUAAGGGGUUUGGCGGUCCCUUGAAAACGCCCCGGCAACCUCUAGGGGAGUCCGGAAUAAACUUGAAUUGAAUU